rnacentral:rRNA from 1 species
AGAGUUUGAUCCUGGCUCAGGAUGAACGCUGGCGGCGUGCUUAAUACAUGCAAGUCGAACGGAGAUAGUAGCAAUAUUAUCUUAGUGGCGAACGGGUGAGUAACGCGUUGGUGACCUGCCCCGAAGAGAGGGAUAGCAGUUCGAAAGGACUGAUAAUACCUCAUGUGGUUGAUGGUUUUAGAAUCUGUCAACUAAACGGAUUUAUUCGCUUCGGGAGGGGCCUGCGUCCCAUCAGCUAGUUGGUAAGGUAAUGGCUUACCAAGGCUAUGACGGGUAGGGGACCUGAGAGGGUGGCCCCCCACAAUGGAACUGAAACACGGUCCAUACACCUACGGGUGGCAGCAGUAGGGAAUAUUGGUAAUGUGCGAAAGCGCGAACCAGCAACGCCGCGUGCGCGAUGAAGGCCUUCGGGUUGUAAAGCGCUUUUAGAGAGGAUGAGGAAGGACAGUACUUUCUGAAUAAGCCUCGGCUAACUACGUGCCAGCAGCCGCGGUAAAACGUAGGAGGCUAGCGUUAUCCGGAUUUACUGGGCGUAAAGCGCGUGCAGGUGGUCUCGCAAGUUGGAUGUGAAAGCUCCUGGCUUAACUGGGAGAGGUCGUUCAAAACUGCGAGACUUGAGAUUGGUAGAGGGAGGUGGAAUUCCGGGUGUAGUGGUGAAAUGCGUAGAUAUCCGGAGGAACACCAGUGGCGAAAGCGGCCUCCUGGACCAAUUCUGACACUCAGACGCGAAAGCUAAGGUAGCAAACGGGAUUAGAGACCCCGGUAGUCUUAGCUGUAAACUAUGUGAACUUGGCGUCGGUGGGUUUAAAUCCAUCGGUGCCGAAGCUAACGCGAUAAGUUCACCGCCUGGGGACUACGGCCGCAAGGUUAAAACUCAAAGGAAUUGACGG